rnacentral:misc_RNA from 1 species
CUUAUAAUCAACUAGUCUAAACAAAGUUUAUCACAUUUUAAAUCAAAACGACGAAAGGGAAGAAAAAGAAGACGGAGGAGAAGAACGACUGACAUGGCAGCCUUAUUCAUUGCUUUGUUUGUGCACCCCAGUUCAAAAAAAAUGCUGGUGGUGAUCACAAACUUCCUCCACUUACUACAGCGACGCUAGAAAUUAACAAAUUCACAACCAAACACCCAUCCAUUGAUUGAUUAUGGCUUUUAUUUACAUCAAAGAUCCAAAAGCCAACCAACCAACCAACCUUCUUUACCUGUUACACGCUAUUAGAUAUUAGUUAU